CACGUAGGGUGCGAGCGUUGUCCGGAAUUAUUGGGCGUAAAGAGCUCGUAGGCGGUGUGUCGCGUCGGCCGUGAAAACCUGCAGCUUAACUGUGGGCUUGCGGUCGAUACGGGCAUCACUGGAGUUCGGCAGGGGAGACUGGAAUUCCUGGUGUAGCGGUGAAAUGCGCAGAUAUCAGGAAGAACACCCGUGGCGAAGGCGGCUCUCUGGUACGGAACUGACGCUGAGACGCGAAAGCGUGGGGAGCGAACAGG
rnacentral:rRNA from 1 species